GUCCCUGUAGCGCAAUGGAUAGCGCAUUGGACUUCUAAUCCAAAGGUCGUGAAUUCGAAUCUCACAUGGGAUG
rnacentral:tRNA from 1 species